rnacentral:rRNA from 1 species
GAUGAACGCUGGCGGCGUGCCUAACACAUGCAAGUCGAACGAAGCGCCUUUUAAGAUUCUUCGGAUGAUUGAUCGGUGACUGAGUGGCGGACGGGUGAGUAACGCGUGGGCAACCUGCCCUGUACAGGGGGAUAACAGUUGGAAACGGCUGCUAAUACCGCAUAAUCGCACGAGAGGACAUCCUCUUGUGUGAAAAACUCCGGUGGUACGGGAUGGGCCCGCGUCUGAUUCGCUGGUUGGCAGGGUAACGGCCUACCAAGGCGACGAUCAGUAGGCGGUCUGAGAGGAUAAACGGCCACAUUGGAGCUGAGACACGGUCCAAACUCCUACGGGAGGCAGCAGUGGGGAAUAUUGCACAAUGGGGGAAACCCUGAUGCAGCAACGCCGCGUGAGUGAAGAAGUAUUUCGGUAUGUAAAGCUCUAUCAGCAGGGAAGAUAAUGACGGUACCUGACUAAGAAGCUCCGGCUAAAUACGUGCCAGCCGCCGCCGUAAAAC